rnacentral:tRNA from 1 species
CGGGGUAUAGCUCAGGGAGAGCGCUUGCAUGGCAUGCAAGAGGUCAGCGGUUCGAUCCCGCUUACCUCCACCA